rnacentral:rRNA from 1 species
AAACUUUCAACAAUGGAUCUCUUGGCUCUGGCAUCGAUGAAGAACGCAGCGAAAUGCGAUAAGUAAUGUGAAUUGCAGAAUUCAGUGAAUCAUCGAAUCUUUGAACGCACAUUGCGCCCGCCAGUAUUCUGGCGGGCAUGCCUGUCC